AGUAACGCUUAGGCAGUUUGUUUUCAAAAAUAAUUGCGUUGCCUGAACGAAUAUUUGCGUUGUGACAAUAUAUCAUCGACGUAAACGAUUAAAUAUAAUUUUCAAUUUAAACUACACAAUGGUACAUCGCGACGAAAAAUAAUAAUAUGUAAAACUAAGAUAUUUCACGUCCAGGUAUCUAAAACAUAAUAUUUUGUCGAAAUAGAAUUUUGAAAGUGAAAAAUAAUAUGCAAUUGAAUAAAAUGAAAGGCGAACGACAUAUUUAUAUUAUGUACAUGUUUUAUACAUGGAAGUAUAUCUAUAUUGAUAUAAAGAUAUUAUGUAAUUCUUUUUUUCAGAUGAUAACGUUUUGAAAUCUGUUUUACUUCUAGGAAUGAUCGUACUAAAACGGAAAACUUAAUAACACUUGGGGACAAAUAAAAUCACUCACAAUACACGUAUAUAUCUCGGUUUCAAUUCGCCCUCCAGAUACGAUUCACAACCCUACUAUUGCGACUUGAAUUUUUUCCCAAAAUCCGCAACAUAAGUUUAAGUUGAUAAAUUUCGUGUACACACAUUUUAACAUUCUAUAAUCACUGUUUAUUGUGAAUUCCAUGGAGUGAAGCAAGAUUAUGUCAUAGAGUUUAGACAUGAAGAGUCAAUUACCACUUAGACGAUGAGGUGACAUUUUAUUAUGACAUGAUACCAUAUAUCUAUAUAAUUCAUACACAUAUAUUACGAUGUAAUGGAAGAUCUUCCACGAAUCGACCACAUAACCUAUCAAUUUUUUCCAUUAAGGCAAUACGAUGGUGGAAUUGUCUUAGGGAGGAGUUAAAAUGUUACCACUGGUACGUUACUCGAUCUAAACCACAAUGAUCGUUGAAAUAACAUUAUCAUGAGACUUACAGACACAAUAAUUAAUAUAUCAUAAUGUGACCCUCCGCUAAGCUAGACAGAAAUUCAAAUGACUAACGGAAUUUUCGGAGUUUUUUUGCUGACGAAGCCAGUCAAUGCAAUACGCCAAUUAUUUUAUUUAGUGCCAAUGGACAAGAACAACUGGUAUGGCGAAAUUGUGAAUACUUAUA